GACGAACGCUGGCGGCGUGCUUAACACAUGCAAGUCGAACGAAGUGGCGAACGGGUGAGUAACGCGUAAUCAACCUGCCCUUCAGCGGGGGACAACAGUUGGAAACGACUGCUAAUACCGCAUACUGAAGGUGGGGAUUGCGUCUGAUUCGCUAGUUGGAGGGGUAACGGCCCACCAAGGCGAUGAUCAGUAGGCGGGCUGGGAGGAUGAACGGCCACAUCGGGACUUGAACACGGCCCAGACUCCUACGGGAGGCAGCCGUGGGGAAACUUCCGCAAUGGAGGAAAGUCUGAAGGAGCAACGCCGCGGGAGUGAUGACGGCCUUCGGGUUGUAAAGCUCUGUUAAGCGGGACGCGGUACCGGAAUAGAAAGCCACGGCUAACUACGUGCCAGCAGCCGCGGUAAUUC
rnacentral:rRNA from 1 species